rnacentral:rRNA from 1 species
AUAUGUGAUCGUCUCUCGCAUAUCAAUAAGCGGAGGAAAAGAAACUAACAAGGAUUCCCCUAGUAACGGCGAGUGAAGCGGGAAGAGCUCAAAUUUGAAAUCUUAAAGGGUUUCCCUUUACGAAUUGUAGUUUAAAGAAGUGUUUUCUGUUGAGGUUUUGGUAAAAGUUCUUUGGAAUAGGACAUCAUAGAGGGUGAGAAUCCCGUAUUUGACCUUUACUUUCAACUUUGUGAUACACUUUCAAGGAAUCGGAUUGUUUGGGAAUGCAGUCCAAAAUGGGUGGUAAAUUUCAUCUAAAGCUAAAUAUUGGCGAGAGACCGAUAGCGAACAAGUACCGUGAGGGAAAGAUGAAAAGAACUUUGAAAAGAGAGUUAAACAGUACGUGAAAUUGUCAAAAGGGAAGCGUUUGACACCAGUGUUGUUUUUCUGAAAAUCAAUUAAAGAACUGUUUAUGCUAAGUUGUUUAGACUUUAUCAGCUAACUGUUUAGUUUUGAGCUUUUCUUUAAUGCACUUUUCAGUUAACAAGUCAACAUCAAUUUCUUUUGCUGUAAAAAAGCUUGAGGAAGGUGGCUUGAGAUUCGUCUUAAGUGUUUAUAGCCUCUUGCCUAUGCAGUCGGAGAGAUUGAGGUCUGCAGCGUAGAUCCUUCGGGGCUAAAUGCAUUUGUGCUAAGUUAUAGCAUUUUAUAGACAACUUGUUGACUAUGAUUUGUCUUGUAGCUUACUCGCUUAUGUUAUUUUACCUACGCUUAGGAUGUUGAAUCUGUGCGAGACUAC